GACGAACGCUGGCGGCAUGCCUAAUACAUGCAAGUCGAGCGAACAGAUGAAGUGCUUGCACUUCUGACGUUAGCGGCGAACGGGUGAGUAACACGUAAGGAAUCUACCUAUAAGCGGGGGAUAACAUUCGGAAACGGGUGCUAAUACCGCAUAAUAUCUUCUUCCGCAUGGAAGAAGAUUGAAAAACGGCUCUGCUGUCACUUAUAGAUGACCUUGCGGUGCAUUAGUUAGUUGGUGGGGUAACGGCCUACCAAGACGAUGAUGAAUAGCCGACCUGAGAGGGUGAUCGGCCACAUUGGGACUGAGACACGGCCCAAACUCCUACGGGAGGCAGCAGUAGGGAAUCUUCCGCAAUGGGCGAAAGCCUGACGGAGCAAUGCCGCGUGAGUGAAGAAGGCCUUCGGGUCGUAAAACUCUGUUAUAAGAGAAGAACAAAUUGUAGAGUAACUGCUACAGUCUUGACGGUAUCUUAUCAGAAAGCCACGGCUAACUACGUGCCAGCCGCCGCAGUAA
rnacentral:rRNA from 1 species